AGAGUUUGAUCCUGGCUCAGAAUCAACGCUGGCGGCGUGCCUAACACAUGCAAGUCGAGCGAGAAAGUGGAGCAAUCCAUGAGUAAAGCGGCGACCGGGUGAGUAACACGUGACUAACCUACCUUCGAGUGGGGAAUAACUCCGGGAAACCGGGGCUAAUACCGCAUAACAUCGAAAGAUCAAAGCAGCAAUGCGCUUGAAGAGGGGGUCGCGGCUGAUUAGCUAGUUGGCGGGGUAACGGCCCAUCAAGGCGAAGAUCGGUAUCCGGCCUGAGAGGGCGCACGGACACACUGGAACUGAAACACGGUCCAGACUCCUACGGGAGGCAGCAGUGGGGAAUUUUGCGCAAUGGGGGAAACCCUGACGCAGCAACGCCGCGUGGAGGAUGAAGCCCCUUGGGGCGUAAACUCCUUUCGACCAAGACGAUAAUGACGGUACUGGUGGAAGAAGCACCGGCUAACUCUGUGCCAGCAGCCGCGGUAAUACAGAGGGUGCGAGCGUUGUUCGGAAUUAUUGGGCGUAAAGGGCGCGUAGGCGGCGCAGCAAGUCACCUGUGAAAUCUCCGGGCUUAACUCGGAGCCUGCAGGCGAAACUGCUGUGCUGGAGUAUGGGAGAGGUGCGUGGAAUUCCCGGU
rnacentral:rRNA from 1 species